AGGCAUGCAAGGUCGAACGGGUCCCUUCGGGGACUAGUGGCGCAAGGGUGAGUAACACGUGAGCAACCUGCCCCCCGAAUCCGGAAUAAUCCAGGGGAAACUUGGUCUAAAACCGGAUGUCGGCGUUUACCCGCAUGGGUUUCCGCCGAAAUAUUCAUAGUUCGGGGAUGGGCUCGCGUCCCAUUAGCUGGUUGGCGGGGUAACGGCCCACCAAGGCUACGACGGGUAGGUGGUCUGAGAGGAUGGUCACCCACACUGGGACUGAGGCACUGCCCAGACUCCUACGGGAGGCUGCAGUCGAGAAUCUUCCGCAAUGGGGCCGCAAGCCUGACGGAGCGAUGCCGCGUGAGGGAAGAAGGCCUUCGGGUUGUAAACCUCUGUCACCCGGGACGAAAUCAAUGACGGUACCGGGAAAGGAAGCCACGGCUAACCACGUGCCAGCCGCCGC
rnacentral:rRNA from 1 species